rnacentral:rRNA from 1 species
UACGGAGGGUGCAAGCGUUAUCCGGAUUCACUGGGUUUAAAGGGUGCGUAGGUGGGUUGGUAAGUCAGUGGUGAAGUACUCCAGCUUAACUGGAGGGGUGCCAUUGAUACUGCAGGGCUUGAGUUAAGUUGAAGUUGGCGGAAUUGACGGUGUAGCGGUGAAAUGCUUAGAUAUCGUCAAGAACACCGAUAGUGAAGACAGCUAACUAAACUUUUACUGACGCUGAGGCACGAAAGUGUGGGGAUCAAACAGG